rnacentral:lncRNA from 1 species
AUGAUUAUCAUUAUUAGCAUGGUUACCAGGUUUUAUGAGCCCUGGCUAAUGGUAGAUUCUGCUGGCUUCCUUCCAGGGGUCCCAGGGGUGGUGCCCGGUGGUGUGCCUGGUGGCAUUCCCGGAGGCGUUCCUGGAGGCGUCUAUUAUCCAGGGGCUGGUCUUGGAGGCCUGGGAGGAGGAGGACUGGGACCUGGAGGGAAGCCACCCAAGCCAGGCGCCGGGCUGCUGGGGACAUUUGGGAUCGGUCCUGGUGGCCUCCCUGGUGGUGCCACCGCCGGGGCAGGGAUCGGGGCCUUUCCUGCAGGCACCUACCCGGGGGCUCUGGUGCCUGGCGGAGCGGCUGGUGCUGCUGCUGCUGCUGCUGCUGCUGCUUAUAAAGCUGCCAAGGCUGGGGCCGGGCUUGGUGGCAUCGGAGGGCUUGCUGGUGUUGGCGGAGUUGGCGGAGUCGGAGGACUUGGUGGCGUUGGUGGCUUAGGAGUGUCUACAGGUGCCGUGGUCCCUCAGGCCGGAGCAGGUGUUGGAGUAGGAGCUGGAGGGAAGCCAGGGAAAGUUCCAGGUGUGGGGCUCCCAGGUGUGUACCCAGGUGGAGUGCUCCCAGGCACAGGAGCUCGCUUCCCUGGAGUAGGGGUGCUCCCUGGAGUCCCCACUGGAACUGGAGUCAAGGCCAAGACCCCAGGUGUAGGCGGAGCUUUUGCCGGAAUCCCAGGGGUCGGGCCCUUUGGGGGCCAGCAGCCUGGGGUCCCCCUGGGGUACCCCAUCAAAGCGCCCAAGCUCCCAGGUGGCUAUGGACUGCCCUACACCAACGGGAAGCUUCCCUAUGGAGUGCCUGGUGCAGGGGGCAAAGCUGGUUACCCCACAGGGACAGGGGUUGGCUCCCAGGCAGCAGCUGCGGCAGCUAAAGCAGCCAAGUAUGGUGCUGGAGGAGCCGGAGUCAUCCCUGGCAUCGGAGGGGGUGGCAUUCCUGGCGGAGCUGGCACCAUUCCUGGGAUUGGGGGCAUCGCAGGGGUGGGGACUCCUGCGGCAGCUGCUGCUGCGAAGGCUGCUGCAAAGGCUGCAAAGUACGGAGCUGCUGGAGGCCUAGUGCCUGGUGGGCCAGGAGUUAGGGUCCCAGGUGUUGUGGUCCCAGGUGUCGGGAUCCCAGGCAUUGCAGAUGGAGCAGGGCCUCUGGGGCCAGCUGCAGCUGCUAAAGCAGCGGCCAAAGCAGCUAAAUAUGGGGCCCGGGCUGGAGUAGGAGUCGGGGGCAUCCCCACCUAUGGGGUCGGGGCCAGGGGCUUUCCUGGCUAUGGCAUCGUACCCGGAGUCGGGGUCGGACCUGGAGUUGGGGUCAUACCCGGAGUAGGAGUUGGAGUUGGAGGUGUCCCUGGAGCUGGCCUUUCCCCAGCCCAGGCCGCCGCUGCUGCCAAAGCUGCCAAGUAUGGUGCAGCAGGAGCUGGAGCCCUGGGAGGUCUGGUGCCAGGUGCAGUACCAGGUGCAGUACCAGGUGCAGUACCAGGGGCAGUACCAGGAGCAGUACCAGGGGUAGUACCAGGAGCAGUACCAGGAGCAGUACCAGGGGCCAUACCAGGUGCAGUACCAGGUGUGCUAGGCACCAAAGGAGUGCCAGGAGCAGGGACCCCAGCAGCUGCAGCCGCUGCUGCAGCCGCCAAAGCAGCUGCCAAAGCUGGCCAGUAUGGAGCAGGGACCCCAGCUGCAGCCAAGUCCGCUGCUAAAGCAGCUGCCAAAGCCCAGUACCGGGCCACUGCCGGGCUGGGUGUUGGAGUUCCUGGGUUUGGAGCUGGUGCCGGGGUUCCCGGAUUCGGAGCUGUGGCCGCACCAGGCUCCCUGGCCGCCGCUAAAGCAGCCAAAUACAGAGCAGCAGGGGCUGGGGCUCUUGGAGGACUUGGAGCUUUUGGAGGACUGGGGCCUCUGGGCGGACCCGGGGCCCUGGCAGGAGCAGGUAUCCCUGGUGGUGUGGCAGGCAUCGGGCCUGCUGCCUCGGCUGCUGCCGCCAAAGCUGCCCAGUACGGCCUAGGGGGUGCCGGUGGGCUCGGAGCCGGAGGGCUGGGCGCUGGAGGACUGGGAGUUGGAGGACUGGGAGUCGGGGGACUCGGAGCCGGAGGACUGGGCGCUGGUGGACUUGGGGGUGUGUCCCCAGCUGCAGCUGCUAAAGCAGCCAAAUACGGUGUGGCACCCAGACCUGGCUUUGGAUUGUCCCCCAUUUACCCAGGUGGUGGUGCUGGGGGCCUGGGAGUCGGCGGGAAGCCCCCCAAGCCCUACGGAGGGGCCCUGGGCGCCCUUGGAGCCCUCGGAUACCAAGGUGGCCCCUGCUUGGGGAAAUCCUGUGGCCGGAAGAGGAAGUGAGCUUCCGGGGGGACCCCUGACUCUCGACCUCAUCAACGUUGGUGCUACUGCUUGGCGGAGAAUGUAGACCCUCAGAAACCCCACCCACCCAUCCCCACCCGGGAGGCGGCCUCGGACAGGACAAGAAAACAAGAGCAGGGUGGCCAUGGGCCCCAACCGCGAGGCCCCACUUCAGAGGCCCUGAGUGGGUGGGCUCAGCUCCUCCGCAGCCCCUUCCCACCUGGGAGUUCCCCCCACAGUCUCCAUCUCUGGGAAAAUUGGUGCUACACCCUGGUGCUCUCGUCUUCCUGGGGAGGAGGAGGGAAGGGGAGCCCUGGGGACACCCUCCCUCUCCGGGGCUCCUCUGAAGAAUGGUGCCUACAUUUCCUGGGCAGUGCCACCUCCCCCUGCCCAUCAGGAGCCACCCCUGGCUGCGGUCCAGUUGGUACCCAAGCACCGGAAACCUAAAGCUGGAUUCAGUCACUCUGUCCCCUCCCCUCUGCCCGUGGCUGUUCCCCACAUCCGGGGCACCUUCGUGUCAGAAGACCCCAUACAUACAACACUGGGAAUGGCCCCCUUGCUCUCAUGGAGCCACCUGCCCGUCUGUCCAUCCUCCCAUCCUCCCAGCCUCGUCGCCAGUCCACUGCCCAGUGCCUCUAACUGGCUGAGCACACCUGUCGUGGCAGCCUGCAACCAGCCCCCAACCCCCCCACACCCCAACGCUAGCCCAGGGUGUGAGGGGCCAUGCGGGCUGGGGGAACAGGACUCCGCUCCCCAGCCCGGAUCUCUCCACACGCAGUACUGUACCCCCGACCCUCCCUUGAGCCACCGUAACUACAGAGCAUGUCUCACCCCCCCAUUUCUUUGUGUCUCGCUGUGAUAGAUCAAUAAAUAUUUUAUUUUUUGUCCUGGAUAUUUGGGGAUUAUGUUUGAUUGUUGAUGUUCUCUUUGGGUUUUAUUUUUGUGCUGAUCUGGGGAGCUGUAACUCAGUAGAAAUUUCAUUUUAAUCACUCUGGUAUAACUCUGGAUGGAACACAUUUUUUUAAAAAAUAAGAAAGAGAAUUAACUGCUUCAGAAAAGACUAAUAAAUGAAAACCUUUUAAAGGAAACGGUCUUGGGCUCCUUUGUGUUUUUCCAUCUGGCCUAGUGGAGAGCAGGGCUUCACUGGGGGGACCUUGACCAUGCAUCAUGUGCUGGGGAGGCUGCUGACCCCAGGCACCCACUGUGGGCAUCCAGGUUUUCGGUCCUUCCCCAAGCUCCACUUGUCUUUUAACAAUGACCUCCAUAACCCGGGUGUAGUGCCGUGGGCCUGGAAUCCCACCACUCGGGAGGCUGAGGCAGGAGGAUUGUGGUAAAUUUGAAACCAGC